rnacentral:lncRNA from 10 species
GUCACAUGAUGGACAUGAUAUAAUGAAACAACAUUGUGGAGAGGAAAGCAUUAGGGGAGCCCACGGCUACAAAAACAAGUGAGUGAGAAGAGGUGGGAGGAAGAGAAACUACGCCACCUCCCCUGCAGCCGAGUGCACGCAGCAGCCUGGCGUGACAAGUGGGCGACGCCGGGGGGCAGGGAGCCGGGGUCCUUGGCCCUGGCCGGGGACCCCACCGCCCACCGCGCGGAGGACAACUUUUAGCCGGCAGCCCAGACCAGCGCGGCACCUGUCUCCGGAGUCUCCACCGCUCCUCCCGAUUCAUCCCAGGGAAAUUCUCAAGAAUACGCUCUACAAAUCUACGUGCGCAUCAUUUUCACCUCGCGUCGCGCCCGGGAGGAAGGAACGAGGCAAGGAGCUAAAGCAGCGUGCGUUCAGCCCUGGGGAGAAAAAUCAAGACGUUCCCUUCAGUCCUCCCUCGGUGUUAACGUCUGCUCCAGCUCGCAGCCCGCUGCUGGGCAUUUUAUUAAUGCUUUUACGAGUUAGAAGAGUUGGGAUAAUUUGCCAUCUGGAGUUUCUCUGCCUUGCUGAUCUGAGCUCAGACCUGCCAAUUUACCAGAGAUAAUUGAUAACACCCUGUAACAGCUGAGAGGAAAAUGGAAGAAACGGAGAUACUUUUAGUGAAGCAGAAUAAACCACUGAACAGUCUGUUUCAUCUUCAUAAAAACGCUGCUUUCAGUGCACUGGAUUUAUUUUACAACCCACUAAUGGAUUACCCUACAGUUUGAAAAACAUUGCGUUAGACCAGUUUGACUGUUGUCAAGAACCAAAAAAGAUGGAGUUUCACUCUUCC